UAUCUCUGUAGAGUCUGCAUAUCAAUAAGCGGAGGAAAAGAAACUAACAAGGAUUCCCUUAGUAACGGCGAGUGAAGCGGGAAGAGCUCAAAUUUGAAAUCUUCAAGGUUCUACCUUGACGAAUUGUAGUUUAAAGAAGUGUUCUCUGUUAGAUGAGUAGCAAAAGUUCCUUGGAAUGGGACAUCAUAGAGGGUGAGAAUCCCGUAUUUGGUUAUUCAUUCUAGCUUUGUGAUACACUUUCAAAGAGUCGGAUUGUUUGGGAAUGCAGUCCAAAAUGGGUGGUAAAUUUCAUCUAAAGCUAAAUAUUGGCGAGAGACCGAUAGCGAACAAGUACCGUGAGGGAAAGAUGAAAAGAACUUUGAAAAGAGAGUUAAACAGUACGUGAAAUUGUCAAAAGGGAGGCGUUUGACACCAGUGUUGUUUUUCCGAAAAGCAAUUACGAAUGGCUUGAUUUUGUGUUGUAUUGACCUUAUCAGCUUUCUGCACUUUUUUCGAGUCUUUCUUAAUGCACUUUUCGGUUAACAAGUCAACAUCAAUUUCUUUUGUUGUAAAAGAGUAUUCGGAAGGUGGCUUUCUUUUCGGAGAAAGUGUUUAUAGCCCUAUACUUCUACAAUCGGAGAGAUUGAGGUCUGCAGCGUAGAUCCUUCGGGGUUAGAUACACUUGUGCUAAGUUGUAGCUUUUCAUAGACAACUUGUUGACUAUGUUUAGUCAUGCGGCUUACUCGCUUGUGCUAUUUUACCUACGCUUAGGAUGUUGACUGAUAUGUAGUCGU
rnacentral:rRNA from 1 species